CGCAUGCCUCCUAUGCGGAUCAAACAUGUGAUCAAAAUUGAAGCCCUUGAAUUUGCACACCUAGCAUCAAUGGCCAAGCUUCAAGUUGCUCUCACGUGAGAAUUUUGGCCAAAAUCUCCCCUGAGCCCUUCGCAGCUUCCUCUUUUAUUUGCCUCUGCAUUUCCCCUUUCCAUUCCUGAGAUCUUUGGCCAAAUUUCCCCUUCCCCUUUGCAGCUUUCUCUUCUAUUUGCCUUUGCAUUUUCCCUUUCCAUUUGUGAGAUCUUUGGCCAAAUUUCCCCUUCUCCUUUGCAGCUUUCUCUUCUAUUUGCCUCUGCAUUUCCCCUUUCCAUUCGUGAGAUCUUUAGCCAAAUUUCCCCUUCCUCUUCGCAGCUUCCUCUUCUAUUUGCCUCCGCAUUUCCCCUUCCCAUUCGCAGCUUCCUCUUCUAUUUUCCUCUACUUCCACACUUCCACCAUUACAGUGACAUUGCAAGCCACUGAUCUCCAGCUCGCGGGAAAGCCGUUCAGCCCCAUCCGUUCUAGCCAUUCUCCUCUGCUGCUUCCAUCGGCCACCAGAUUCUCUAGUGCUUCCACCAUCGGGAGUAUAUAGAAAUCACAGCUGGAGAUUAGUUGUGUAAGCAUGGCAACAAGUACUAAUGAUGUUCAACCAAUCCGGAUGUGCUCAUGUGGGCAAUAUAUGCAUUUAAAAACAUCAAGGAGAGAUAAGAAUCUAAAUCGUCAAUUCUGGAAAUGCUUAGAUGGAGAACAGAAAAAAAGAUGUGGUAGAUUCAUUUGGACAAAAGAAGGUGAAGCUAAACUAGAAAAAAUUGAUGUACUUAUCGGUGAAGUUCGUCGUUUAUCUUUGGAAGUGGAGAAAUCUAAUAAUAUUCUUGAAGCAAUUCAGAAAAAUACUAAGAGGAGCGACUAAUAUGACAUUAAGACGGUCAUAUUCCUUCUACUUUUAUUAUUUAUUUUCUUUAAAAUGUUAGCCUAGUAGUGUAGUCAAGUAAGAUAUAUGUAUGUUCGAUUAGUAAACUAAUCAUGUAGUAAAUUCGACCUUAUGCUUGUGAAGCACCAUAUGUAUCCUAUUAAGCUCGCUGUAUGUUUUGUUGAAAUUGUCUGUUAUAAUUAACUAUGCAAUAUGAUGUGUCAAGUAUGUUGAACUGUUUGGUGAAUUGAUUUGCAUUUUAUUCCCUUUAUAUUGCUGAUGUGGUUCACAUAAUUGUAGCCCUUUGGUGUGGGUUGCAUGCUUUCAUUGAUGAUUUUUAUAGGUUCCUGUUUCAAAUGUAUUCAUUAUCAGUACUGGUAUUAACCCUAAAGCCAAAUCAUAUUACCUUUUUGAUGGCUAUGCACAUCUCUUUUCUGGGCUUGCUUGUGGUUUUGUUGGGCUUACGGUUGGAAUGGCAAUUGGUAUAGUUGGUGACGCUGGUGUCAGGGCAAUGGCAGGUCAUGCUUAAAGAAGCAGAUGGCUCUUAUGCUAGUGCUUGUGCAAGCUGACACAUCUAGAAUGGUUUCAAUCCUUCGGAGCAAAAAUCCAUAAGCUAUGAUGUAGACUAUUUUAAAGUGCAGAUUGAUUGAUCUGGAGAAAAGGUGCUAUGAACCAUCUGGUGCUUGAGCUCAUUGCAGGCUUUAGCCUUCAUACUAGUGACAAUGUGACUGUUGAAGCAAGUUGGUUGUUGAAUUGUACCAUGAACCCAUUUUAAAUGUACCAGAAAAGUUAAUGUUGACAAAUGUUGCCAAAUGAAUGUAUAGGUUCCUGUUGUAGCUCACUACCUUUGAAAGGGUAACUUGGAUGUUUAUGUUGUGAACAAAUUACUGAAAGUUAAGUUCUAUAAAUUCUUUUCCAAUUGUAUUC